ncrna:length=4599
AAAAUAGUUUUUCUAGAAACUACCAAAAUAUAACAAAAAAAAGCAU